GUUUUACUACAGGCUGACCAGAAUCACAAACACAUUGAUUGAAAACUAUCAUCAGUUCCAACAAUUGAAGUAACCGGUUAGUAAUGUGAAUUAAAGGACAUGACUAUAUGAUGAAUACCAGCAGUGAUGAAACCUAAGAGUAGCAACAAACAUAAAAAUUGAAAGGCAGCCAGAGUAAACACACCAGCAUCUACUCAUGGAUUGAAAGGGUC